UCCUCGUUUAAGCGAGGCAGUCUGUCCAGAGUGCUCCCCUCUCUCGAGGGGGUGGCAACAGGACACAAGGGUUGCGCUCGUUGCGGGACUUAACCCAACAUCUCACGACACGAGCUGACGACGGCCAUGCAGCACCUGUGUCCUGGCUCUCUUUCGAGCACUCCCACAUUUCUGCAGAGUUCCUGACAUGUCAAGGGUAGGUAAGGUUUUUCGCGUUGCAUCGAAUUAAACCACAUCAUCCACCGCUUGUGCGGGCCCCCGUCAAUUCCUUUGAGUUUUAAUCUUGCGGCCGUACUCCCCAGGCGGGGUGCUUAAUGCGUUAGCUUCGGCACGGACGGGGUUGAUAUCCGCCCACACCUAGCACCCAACGUUUACGGCUAGGACUAC
rnacentral:misc_RNA from 1 species